UACGUAGGGUGCGAGCGUUAAUCGGAAUUACUGGGCGUAAAGUGUGCGCAGGCGGCCGCGCAAGUCGAGUGUGAAAUCCCCGAGCUUAACUUGGGAAUUGCGCUCGAAACUACGUGGCUGGAGUGUGGCAGAGGAAGGUGGAAUUCCACGUGUAGCGGUGAAAUGCGUAGAGAUGUGGAGGAACACCGAUGGCGAAGGCGGGUCUCUGGGCCGAUACUGACGCUGAGGAGCGAAAGCGUGGGGAGCGAACAGG
rnacentral:rRNA from 1 species